rnacentral:snRNA from 1 species
GGAUAAUACGAUUCGAAAA